UCUUCUCAAAUGAAAAUAAGAAAUUUUUCCUUUUCAGGAAAGGUGAAGGAAGGACAAUCCCAUUUUAUUUUACUGGAUACAGAAGUACUACAGUUGUGCAUGAGCAUUCCUUGGGAUAUGGAAAAGGAUUUUCAGACCCCUUCAUAUCAGGCUAUCCCAGUGGCCUUACUCUUGAAGAAGAGGAGAGGGCAAGGAGCCUUCUCUUCUGCACCUAGAAUGAAAAGUGAGCGCAGGCCUUCUGACUGGCAGCACCAGUGCUUUCCUGGCUGAUGGUACAGGGAUAUUGAGCUUUAAGGCAAUUCAGUAAUUUCCCUGGAACAACAUACCUUCAGGAGUGGAAGAUCUGCAAUGAAAUAUAUUUUGUCUAGAGAAUGCUUUAUUGCUCGUUGCCUAAGAACAACACCUCAUAUGGAACUUGCCUGCUUCUGACUGGUUCCUAACAGACUUGGCAGGAAUGUGUCUUUAAAAAGCAGUGCACCCCAAGCCUUCAGCUAAAGGCCUGGUGAGAUGGGUGGGUGAAAGGUGUCCAAGUUCUCCUGUGCUGUGCAGAGGCCCUGUGUGAACGAUCCAGCAUCAUGGGAAGCAAUGGAUCUACGGGAGCCAGGAGGCCGCUCUGGUGGUUUUGGGGAUUGUUACCUGGACAGCUUCAUUCAAGGGAGAAACAUUCUCAUCAGGCAGGAGCUUGAACUUGUGUAAAAGAUUUCUGCUCCAAGGUAAGCAGCUCCUGGCGUUCUUUGGUGGUAAUGAAGGCAUUCACAGCUUCAGGUGGAGCAGCAAGCCCAGCAGUUUGGGCCUCACAGACUCAUAGCAAGGCUGGAGAAAGGAUGUUAAAGAUCAUCCAGUUCCAGCCCCAACUUCUCCAGGAUGCCAGUGCUGUGAGCACAGCAGCAGUGGGGGUCACAGCUCACAUCUCAGAGGGGGAUUUGACAUUCCUCCCAUCACGCAAAGAAACACUUGAAUUCCUCUCAUUUGAGGCCAUUGACGUCUGUGUGCCAUGCCAGAAAAGUUGUUGAGAAAUAACUUUGAAAAAUCGUCAGAAAUAAGA